AUCUGCUCCAUCAGGAGUUCAUCUCGUGAGCCCAGGACAGGAGAGAGAAGUAUGAACCAUCAAGUGGGAUGUUUUUCGUGAUAAAUUUAUAGAAUUUCUACCAAGCUCGUGCCAGCAUGAUAAGUCAGGUAACAUGCAGGAAACAUGAGAGGAGAAAACCACCCAGGGAGACGGCGAAACAGAACAGGUUAGAAGAGCAAGCUGAAAACUCGUGAAAGAAAUACAGGGAAUAUUAGUCUACAACCUGGAGACAGGAUAAGGAGAGUGAGCAAGGACAAAAGGGAGGUCACAGCCUGAAUCUAACCUCACCACAGGGAGACGUUCCUCCCGGCACGAGCAUUUUCAAGUGCACGGAGAAAAAAAAUAUCAUCAACAGCAUGCCAAAAUGAAAGCAUUUGAAAAUGAAUAGCAGCUGUUAUUUUCUUAAGACCUCAAUGUCUUUGUCUUUAUGUGAGUUCAUCUUACAAUAGAGAUGGCUUCGUUUAAAUGAGAAGGCGGCUGCAGCUUUUUAGUAUACUCCAGGUAAAAUGAGUGAAUACACACAAAGAGCACCUGAUAACACUAUUUGCACAUGCACUAUUGUGUAAUUGUUUCCAUAGGCACAAAGGACUGCCAAGCUGCCAUAAAACCUCAUGAUAAUUGCUUGGUUGUGUAUGUGUUACAAAAUACAAAUCAGGAUUCCCUCAAAAACCUGGAAAAUUGCACUUAUUUAAAUCUCACAGAACUAAGG